UGACAUCCGCCGCGGUAAUCCUGAGGGGUCGCUCGUUAUUCGGAAUUACUGGGCGUAAAGGGUGCGUAGGCGGCCCAUCAAGUUAGACGUGAAAGCCCCGGGCUCAACCUGGGAAUUGCGUUUAAUACUGGUGAGCUAGAGUACGAGAGAGGAAAGUGGAAUUCCUAGUGUAGAGGUGAAAUUCGUAGAUAUUAGGAAGAACACCAGUGGCGAAGGCGACUUUCUGGCUCGUAACUGACGCUGAGGUGCGAGAGCGUGGGGAGCAAACAGGAUUAGAUA
rnacentral:rRNA from 1 species